rnacentral:lncRNA from 1 species
GCGUGAAGAAGUUGUGCAUGGGGAGUUUAGCAUGGAGGAUUUUAGGGUUUCAUAAAAAGAGAGGUGGGAGCAUGAAUAAGGAUCUUUAGAUCUUCAUAUUGCUUCUCCUCCGUUGAUCGAUAAGUCACAUUCAUACUGGAUCUUCAUGAAGAUUGAUCUUUUAAUCUGAGCCCUUAAGAUUUAAGUCAUGUUCACACUUGGUUCAAUGAAUCUUCUAAUCUAGGUCCU